UAAAAUGGUAGUCAAAUUGGUUGAAAGCCAAAACUGAUCAACAAAAUCAUCCUACUCCAAAGUCAAAUUUUGAUGACAUCUUGUCCUGUUAUGGUUUCGUGACGAACUUAUUUGACAAUAAAAUAGUAUACACUAUUUCAUUUACAAUUGAAGAAAUUGACUUCGGAUAAAGAUUUCUUAAGAUUCUAAAACUCGUUUAUAUAAUUCACAUAAUAUUUAUUUCUUUGAGC
rnacentral:lncRNA from 1 species